rnacentral:rRNA from 1 species
UGGGCGUAAGGGCUCGCAGGCGGUUUCUUAAGUCUGAUGUGAAAGCCCCCGGCUCAACCGGGGAGGGUCAUUGGAAACUGGGAAACUUGAGUGCAGAAGAGGAGAGUGGAAUUCCACGUGUAGCGGUGAAAUGCGUAGAGAUGUGGAGGAACACCAGUGGCGAAGGCGACUCUCUGGUCUGUAACUGACGCUGAGGAGCGAAAGCGUGGGGAGCGAACAGGAUUAGAUACCCCCGU